UACUAUACUAAACUUUAAUGAAAAACUUGAAUAUUAUAAGAUAUAGGCUUUAAAUUCAAAGAAUUUGGCGGUAAUUUAGUCUUUCCAGAGGAACCUGUUUUUUAAUCGAUACACCACGAAGAAUCUUACUUAUUCUAUUGAUUGUUUGUAUACCGUCAUUAUCAGAUAAUAUUUAAAGAUAUAAAUUAUUGAGGUUUUAAUAAAAACAAAAAUUAGAUCAAGGUGCAGCUUAUGGGUAAGUUAAAAUGGGUUACAAUUAAGUACAUAUAAGAUGAAGUAAAAUUUGAAAUAAUUUUAUGAAGGAGGAUUUGGUUGUAAUAGGAAUUAGUAUGGUAAAAAGAUAUAAGCUCUAGAUUAU
rnacentral:rRNA from 1 species